UACGUAGGGGGCAAGCGUUGUCCGGAAUUAUUGGGCGUAAAGCGCGUGUAGGCGGCUCGGUAAGUCUGCUGUGAAAGUCCAGGGCUCAACCCUGGAAUGCCGGUGGAUACUGUCGAGCUCGAGUCCGGAAGAGGCGAGUGGAAUUCCUGGUGUAGCGGUGAAAUGCGCAGAUAUCAGGAGGAACACCAAUGGCGAAGGCAGCUCGCUGGAACGGUACUGACGCUGAGGCGCGAAAGCGUGGGGAGCGAACAGG
rnacentral:rRNA from 1 species